rnacentral:lncRNA from 1 species
AUGCCUUGGUUCCCUGUUGGUGCAACCCAACUUGGAAUUGCAUUUCCAGGUGCUGACGCUUGACCAGAAGCUCCCCAGUUCAUGUUUGUGUUUCCUGGUACUGGUCCCCAGCUCAUAUUUGGAUUUCCAGGCAUUGGACCCCAGCCAGCAUUUGGAUUCUGUGGCCCUGGCCUUGGGGCAGCACUUGGAUUUUCUGCAACACCCAUACCCCAAGGUAGGUUGGGUGGGGCAGCUGGAGCCAGGUUGGGUGGGGCCGGUGGGAUCAUAGCGGGUGGAGCAGGGGAGAUCAUGUUGGGUGGACCCGGAGGGAUAAUGUUUGGUGGACCAAGAGGGACUAGGUUGGGUGGGGCUGCAGAGAUCAUAUUGGGUGGCACUGAAGGAGUCAGGAUUGGAGGUGGAGGCAGAGGGUUCAGGUUAGGUGGAGCUGGGGGGCCCAGAUUGGGUGGGGUUGGAUGGCCUAGAUUGGUUGGAGCUGGAGGGCCAAAGCUGGGUGGAGCUCGAGGGCCCAUGUUAGGUGGAACAGAAGGAGCUAGGUUGGGCAGAGCCGGAGGACCAAGGUUGCCAGGAGGUGGAGGCUGGAAGUUUGGUGGAUUACUUGGAACUUGAGGUCUCCAAGAAUCAGAUAGAGGCAAACCUAGGCCUGGACUAGGGAAAUACCCAGCUAGAUUUCCUGUGCCAAGAGAUGAAGCAGAAUUAUGGAUAGAAGAAGCAUCAACCCAGUGACCAUAUGGUGGCUGUUGUGAAUGCAUAGGAAUAGAAUUAUUUCGUUCUAGCUUCUGAGGUGGACCAUAUCCCCAG